AUGGCUGCUCUGGGGGACGAGGUGCUGGACGCUUACAUGUACCCGGCGUGCGCCCUCUACUCGUACCCGUACCCCUACCCCUACCCGGCCGCCGCCAAGGGCAAGGGAGCGGCGGGCGGGGGAGGCUGGCGGCACCGGGACGGCGGCUACCCUCCCGUUUCCUCCUCUGACGGCGCGGCCUCGUCGUCUUUCCCGGGCUACGGGCAGCUAGCGGCCGCCGAGUACUUCCACAGCUACCAGCGGGCGCAGCUCAUGGCCCUCCUGUCGCAGGUGGGCCCUGGCCUCGCCCCGCGGCCCGGCCGCGCCAGCAUUCGGGACGUGGCUGUGCAGGUGAACCCGCGCCGCGACGUCUCCGUGCAGUGCUCGCUGGGGCGGCGUACGCUGCUGCGCAGGGCCCGCGAGCCCGGCCCUGAGCCCGAGGGCGCGGCGGGCGCGGGCGGCAGCUGCCCGGCCUCCCCGGAGCUGGCCCGCCGGGGCCCCGAGCAGGGCAGCCCGCCGAGCGGCGCCCCGCGGCCCGUGCGCUUCCCGCGCACCGUGGCGGUGUACUCGCCCGUGGCUUCCCGCCGCCUUUCCACCCUCCUGGAAGGGGCCGAGACUGCGGCGGCCGAGCAGAGGCCCGGGGCGCCGGACGGAGAGCGAGGGCCGCCAGCUGCGAGGACCCGAGGCCCCGAGGAGGGAGAGGAGUCGGCGAGGAAGGAUCCCCAACGGCCGCAGUCCGAGGAGGACGAGGCCCAGGCCGGCGUACCGGCGAGCAGGGAGCAGCCCCCGCCGGUGGCCGGCGCCCCGGACGCCGCGGGCGAGAGGUGGUCGCCGCGGAGCCCCCAGCCGGGCAAGGAGCGCCUGCGCUUCCAGUUCUUAGAACAGAAAUAUGGCUACUAUCACUGCAAGGACUGCAACAUCCGAUGGGAAAGUGCCUAUGUGUGGUGUGUACAGGGCACUAACAAGGUUUACUACAAGCAGUUUUGCAGAACAUGUCAGAAGUCUUAUAACCCUUACCGAGUGGAGGAUAUCACCUGUCAAAAUUGUAAACAGACUAGAUGCUCCUGCCCAGUAAAAGUUCGCCACGUGGACCCCAAAAGGCCCCACCGUCAAGAUCUGUGUGGGAGAUGCAAAGGCAAACGCUUAUCCUGUGACAGCACUUUCAGUUUCAAAUAUAUCAUUUAAAUGAAUGUGAAAAAACCAAAACCCUGGUCCCGCCGAACGUGUGCUAGUGGAGCAGACAAUGUAGGUUAUGCUGGUGGAUGAGCAGUUCUCAUAGACCAAAAGGAGGUACACUCACUCUGGCUUUGGUGAGUCUGUUCCAAGAAAAUGUCUGACGACUUCCUAAAUUUAAGAUGAUCUGUUGCUGCUACUGCGAUCUUUAAGGUCUGGGAUCUUUUAAGAUCGCUGGAUAUCUGCUGUCAGAUUUAUGAACAGGUCCUGAAAUAGUACAUCAUUUCAAAAACCAAUAAUGCUUAACUGGGGUGUGUGUGGGGGGAAGAUUCACUAUAAGUGACUUUUCACUUCAUUGCUCCUGCAAGGAAAUAUGUAUGUAUGUAUUUUAAUUUCCUAGAAUCAGUUACUAAUGCCUAGUACAACUGAAUAUUUACCUCUGCUUCAUUUUUAAUUGUGUUUACUUGAUUGAUAAGUUUACAGUAGGCUUGGAACAGAAGCAGCAAUUGAAAAUGCAAUUUGUAUAACCUUCGGCAGAGCUCCAGUUCCUAGAAAUAAAUAACACUGUGUUAAAUUUAGGUGUUAUUUUCCAUAUUUGA